UGAACCUUCUAGCCCUAAUUGAUCGAUCGUAGAUCUGCAUUCCGUCUCUCCAUUCCUGUGGCAGCAACGCAUGACGCCUGCGGUUCUUUCCUCUGACUGAAACGGACGGAGUUAUAACUUUGUAUCUCCUAUGUGGGGUGGAUUUGUAUAAAUAUGUGAGUUCUUCAUGCUUCAAACUCAUCUUCUUUUUCUAUCUCUUCCAAUAUUCUGAUUCAUGUUGUUAUGGCUAACUUCGAGAGUUUUUUUCUCGGACAUGAAAACCGGCAAGUGCUCUUCCAUCGUCGAGGCACGGCUCCUGCGGUUCUGGGAGGCGAGGAACGUCAAACGUGAUUUGAACAAGAAAUCUGAUAUGUGAUUUUCAAUCCUUUGUUGUUUGAUCGUCUGCUCAGAUUUUCUUGCGUACAGGAAUAAAAUCUUAGUCUUCCAUUUUGGUGGGCUUAUUUAAUUAGGAACGAUGGGAGCGACAUUUGGGCUGAUGAUUCUCUGAGACUCUAGCAGGCUAUGCAUGCCUCUGUUUUAUUGGGUCAGAGUUGCUUCUCUGGUUUUGGACAGAUUUUGGCUUUAGCUGACUGAGAUCCUGAGGUCUUCUCUGGUCAAGAAUGUUCACAAUUUAGGCUGAAAGGUCAAACGACUACGUAAAUGUUCAACAGAUCAAGUGUGAUGCUUCUUAAAUGUAUUUAGAUUGCCGUGAAGAACGUUGGAUUACACAGUGAAGAAGGAGCUAAACGGAUGUUUGAUAUCCCCGACGACGGAACUAUGAGGGUUCAUAGAAUUGCUGGUGCCGUCUCCGUCUCAAAUUUUCUUCUCUCAUGCGUUAAUACGUGUACAGACGUGACUUUUUUUUCCUCUUUCCUUAGCAAUAGAUUGACUAGGUCAGUAACGAAGGAUGUAAAUAGAAUGAAAUGGGCUUAUCAGACUUUGUAAUUUGUCCUAUUGGGUGUUUCGUUUUAAAGAAAGCGAAUAUGGCCAAUAAAAUUUACCUAUAUAUAAUUUUUU